rnacentral:rRNA from 1 species
UACGUAGGUGGCAAGCGUUGUCCGGAUUUAUUGGGUUUAAAGGGUGCGUAGGCGGUUCCAUAAGUCAGUGGUGAAAUACGGCAGCUCAACUGUCGAGGUGCCAUUGAUACUGUGGAACUUGAGUACAGACGAGGUAGGCGGAAUUGACGGUGUAGCGGUGAAAUGCUUAGAUAUCGUCAAGAACACCGAUAGCGAAGGCAGCUUACUAGACUGUAACUGACGCUGAGGCACGAAAGUGUGGGGAUCAAACAGG